AUUGAACGCUGGCGGCAUGCCUUACACAUGCAAGUCGAACGGCAGCACGGGAGCAAUCCUGGUGGCGAGUGGCGAACGGGUGAGUAAUAUAUCGGAACGUGCCCGGUCGUGGGGAUAACGUAGCGAAAGCUACGCUAAUACCGCAUACGAUCUACGGAUGAAAGCGGGGGAUCGCAAGACCUCGCGCGAUUGGAGCGGCCGAUAUCAGAUUAGGUAGUUGGUGAGGUAAAGGCUCACCAAGCCGACGAUCUGUAGCUGGUCUGAGAGGACGACCAGCCACACUGGGACUGAGACACGGCCCAGACUCCUACGGGAGGCAGCAGUGGGGAAUUUUGGGACAAUGGGCGCAAGCCUGAUCCAGCAAUGCCGCGUGCAGGAUGAAGGCCUUCGGGUU
rnacentral:rRNA from 1 species